ACGCCUACUGUUCACGUGAAGUCUGUGUGUGUAGAGGAGCCUACUGCAAUAUUGUUUUUGUGUGUGUGUGUGUGCGUGUAGACGAGCCAAGCUGCAGCGAGAAGGAGGGAGGGAGUCUGUGGAAACACGUGGAGCGCGCUGUCCGCAGCCGGCACCGGACCUAUCCGCUGUAAAUCGCCUCGAGCGAUCCUGGAACUCUUUGGACCUCAGCUGAGUCAUCGCCAAAAGCUGGAGCUGGCGGCCAUGAAACAAAUUUGGUUCUUCACUUUGGACAAGGUCGGCAAACCCCGGGGCGGCAACAACAACGACGGCUACGACGACGAUAACAACAACUACAUCCCUGAGGAGCCUCAAAGACGUCGUGAGAAAAGGGAGCGCCGGGCGGAUCUACCCGAGGCGUCUGAGGGAGUACACCGGGGCCAUCCUCGACUUCCUGCUGUACGCCAAGGGGC